rnacentral:rRNA from 1 species
ACGGAAGGCAGCAGUGGGGAAUAUUGGGCAAUGGGCGCAAGCCUGACCCAGCGACGCCGCGUGAAGGAAGAAGGUUUUCGGAUUGUAAACUUCUUUUAUCAGGGACGAAGAAAGUGACGGUACCUGAUGAAUAAGCCACGGCUAACUACGUGCCAGCAGCCGCGGUAAUACGUAGGUGGCAAGCGUUAUCCGGAUUUACUGGGUGUAAAGGGCGCGUAGGCGGGGAUGCAAGUCAGGUGUGAAAUCUAUGGGCUUAACCCAUAAACUGCAUUUGAAACUGUAUCUCUUGAGUGUCGGAGAGGUAGACGGAAUUCCUAGUGUAGCGGUGAAAUGCGUAGAUAUUAGGAGGAACACCAGUGGCGAAGGCGGAUUGCUGGACGACAACUGACGGUGAGGCGCGAAAGCGUGGGGAGCAAACAGGAUUAGAUACCCUGGUA